CCACCCAUAUAUAUAUAUCAGACUAACUGGCAUCAGACCAUGGCUGUGAAGGUGAUCUUCCAGGGCAAGCCUUACCCAUUACGCACAAGAUGUGCUGACCCCUAAGAUAUCCCCAAAUGGGGGAAACUGGCUUGCAUGCUGUAUGGUAGUGGGGGAUGGUAUUUGCACUCUUCUCCAAGAAGUGUUCAGCAAUUGAAAAAGGAUUUAAAUCUUUCCCCCCAGAUGUAUACUCUGGCAUGACUCCGUUACUGUGCUCAGCACCUGAACCUGUUGUGGAGUAUUUGUUUAACCAGGCAAAGAUGUGUUAACAUCUCUUCGUGCUGCCGUUGUUAACUAUGUAAAGCCAGGAACUUCUGCUGUGUGUCACCACUGAUCUGAAGAAACAGGCCUGGCCAGCCUCGGAUCUCAGUCUUUGAAGAUGUGAGCCAACAUGAGUUUCCCUUCCUGCUCCUGCUGGAAUUGAGGCUUCUGGGGAAAGUUGGAGGAGCAGCCCUGACCCCUUCCUGGAUUGGCUUGCUCAAUACCUAUGGAAAUCAGCUGGACCUUGACCCCCAAAGAAAAAAGUAAUUAAUGUUGUAGCCCAUUCCCUUAUCUAGAGUUAAUUGGAAAGCGCUUUGGAGCAGUGA